CAGUUACAGAGCACGCAGCAAUGGUCGGACAAAAGACGUUCGCACAGACUUCGGCAGUGUCAGCACUGGUACUGGUAGUUGUGCUGGUGAUGAUCGGAACAGCGGACGCCCAGGACAGCUCGACCACGACCACCAGUACGACAACGACCACAACGCGGAGGUCGGCUGCCAUAGAUAUCGGUCUGGGAGACACCAUUGGCGGUGUGGGAGACUUACUAGGAGGACUUCUGGGAGGAGGCGUUCUGCACGUGAGCCGAGCUGGCAAGGCCCAAAAAGAAUCAUCAGCCCAGAGCAGUAGCAAGAAGGUUCACUCGUAGGCAAAGAAAAUUAACAUGACUUACAUUAAGUUAGCCACUUUGAUGUCUGAGAGUGGUAAUUUGUACAUUGAACAAUAAAUAAGGAAUAAAAAAUGGGUAUUGAAUUCUUUUAA